rnacentral:tRNA from 1 species
AGCCCCGGCCGAUGUCAUUCUGCUCUUUAAAGUUUGCAACUUUGCGUGCUCUACACCACGAGGCU